rnacentral:tRNA from 1 species
GGUCUAUUAGUGUAGUUGGUUAUCACAGCGGAUUCUGAUUCCGUUAACCUCAGUUCGAAUCUGGGAUGGACCG